rnacentral:rRNA from 1 species
GGAUGAACGCUAGCUACAGGCUUAACACAUGCAAGUCGAGGGGAAACGACAUCGAAAGCUUGCUUUUGAUGGGCGUCGACCGGCGCACGGGUGAGUAACGCGUAUCCAACCUGCCCACCACUUGGGGAUAACCUUGCGAAAGUAAGACUAAUACCCAAUGAUAUCUCUAGAAGACAUCUGAAAGAGAUUAAAGAUUUAUCGGUGAUGGAUGGGGAUGCGUCUGAUUAGCUUGUUGGCGGGGUAACGGCCCACCAAGGCAACGAUCAGUAGGGGUCCUGAGAGGAAGGUCCCCCACAUUGGAACUGAGACACGGUCCAAACUCCUACGGGAGGCAGCAGUGAGGAAUAUUGGUCAAUGGACGAGAGUCUGAACCAGCCAAGUAGCGUGCAGGAAGACGGCCCUAUGGGUUGUAAACUGCUUUUAUAAGGGAAUAAAGUGAGUCUCGUGAGACUUUUUGCAUGUACCUUAUGAAUAAGGACCGGCUAAUUCCGUG